CUGGCGGCAGGCCUAACACAUGCAAGUCGAGCGGGCGUAGCAAUACGUCAGCGGCAGACGGGUGAGUAACGCGUGGGAACAUACCUUUUGGUUCGGAACAACACAGGGAAACUUGUGCUAAUACCGGAUAAGCCCUUACGGGGAAAGAUUUAUCGCCGAAAGAUUGGCCCGCGUCUGAUUAGCUUGUUGGUGAGGUAGUGGCUCACCAAGGCGACGAUCAGUAGCUGGUCUGAGAGGAUGAUCAGCCAUAUUGGGACUGAGACACGGCCCAAACUCCUACGGGAGGCAGCAGUGGGGAAUAUUGGACAAUGGGCGCAAGCCUGAUCCAGCCAUGCCGCGUGAGUGAUGAAGGCCCUAGGGUUGUAAAGCUCUUUUGUGCGGGAAGAUAAUGACGGUACCGCAAGAAUAAGCCCCGGCUAACUUCGUGCCAGCAGCCGCGGUAAUACGAAGGGGGCUAGCGUUGCUCGGAAUCACUGGGCGUAAAGGGUGCGUAGGCGGGUCUUUAAGUCAGGGGUGAAAUCCUGGAGCUCAACUCCAGAACUGCCUUUGAUACUGAGGAUCUUGAGUUCGGGAGAAGUGAGUGGAACUGC
rnacentral:rRNA from 1 species